AAGGAAGGGUAGAAAUCAGUAAGUACUGCUAAUCCUUAUGCCCCGCGGUUAAAUUCCGCGGCUUCCUUA
rnacentral:tRNA from 2 species